rnacentral:rRNA from 1 species
UGGGGAAUAUUGCACAAUGGGCGCAAGCCUGAUGCAGCCAUGCCGCGUGUAUGAAGAAGGCCUUCGGGUUGUAAAGUACUUUCAGCGGGGAGGAAGGUGUUGAGGUUAAUAACCUCAGCAAUUGACGUUACCCGCAGAAGAAGCACCGGCUAACUCCGUGCCAGCAGCCGCGGUAAUACGGAGGGUGCAAGCGUUAAUCGGAAUUACUGGGCGUAAAGCGCACGCAGGCGGUCUGUCAAGUCGGAUGUGAAAUCCCCGGGCUCAACCUGGGAACUGCAUUCGAAACUGGCAGGCUAGAGUCUUGUAGAGGGGGGUAGAAUUCCAGGUGUAGCGGGGAAAUGCGUAGAGAUCUGGAGGAAUACCGGUGGCGAAGGCGGCCCCCUGGACAAAGACUGACGCUCAGGUGCGAAAGCGUGGGGAGCAAACA